UAAUCGUCAUCAGGUCAUUAGUUUUCUUGUUUGAAUUUCAAUUGUUUAACUAUGGACUUUAUAUAUUUUACCAGGGAUGAUUCCAGGUGUUUUCAAAUGGGUCCCUUGAACAUCAAAUUGGGAAUUUUUAUUCUAAUUGGGAAUUUUUUAAGCAUAAAAUCUAAGUCGAAAUAACAUUAUUUACCUGUAAAAACGGAAAAUGUAUAUUAUUAAGUUUAACCUGUACACUGGUGUUCAUGUAAGUUGUAACAGUUUGAAUAAUUCUGGAUGGGCUACUGUUAUUACAUGAAUAUCAUUGAACAUGAUGCACUAGUCUAUCAUCUUAGCUAUAGUCACCUAGGCUUAUUACAAACACAUAUUUUUCAGCUAACAUAAACCACUGAAAAAAUCAUUCAUCGGUUAUUUUUUCAACAGAAGGUCAUCUCUAUAAAUUUACCUUGAUUUAAAUGGAUUUCAAAUUGGACUGGUC
rnacentral:lncRNA from 1 species